rnacentral:rRNA from 1 species
ACAGGCUUAACACAUGCAAGUCGAGGGGAAACGACAUCGAAAGCUUGCUUUUGAUGGGCGUCGACCGGCGCACGGGUGAGUAACGCGUAUCCAACCUGCCCACCACUUGGGGAUAACCUUGCGAAAGUAAGACUAAUACCCAAUGACGUCUCUAGAAGACAUCUGAAAGAGAUUAAAGAUUUAUCGGUGAUGGAUGGGGAUGCGUCUGAUUAGCUUGUUGGCGGGGUAACGGCCCACCAAGGCAACGAUCAGUAGGGGUUCUGAGAGGAAGGUCCCCCACAUUGGAACUGAGACACGGUCCAAACUCCUACGGGAGGCAGCAGUGAGGAAUAUUGGUCAAUGGACGAGAGUCUGAACCAGCCAAGUAGCGUGCAGGAUGACGGCCCUAUGGGUUGUAAACUGCUUUUAUAAGGGAAUAAAGUGAGUCUCGUGAGGCUUUUUGCAUGUACCUUAUGAAUAAGGACCGGCUAAUUCCGUGCCAGCAGCCGCGGUAAUACGGAAGGUCCGGGCGUUAUCCGGAUUUAUUGGGUUUAAAGGGAGCGUAGGCCGGAGAUUAAGCGUGUUGUGAAAUGUAGACGCUCAACGUCUGCACUGCAGCGCGAACUGGUUUCCUUGAGUACGCACAAAGUGGGCGGAAUUCGUGGUGUAGCGGUGAAAUGCUUAGAUAUCACGAAGAACUCCGAUUGCGAAGGCAGCUCACUGGAGCGCAACUGACGCUGAAGCUCGAAAGUGCGGGUAUCGAACAGGAUUAGAUACCCUGGUAGUCCGCACGGUAAACGAUGGAUGCCCGCUGUUGGUCUGAAUAGGUCAGCGGCCAAGCGAAAGCAUUAAGCAUCCCACCUGGGGAGUACGCCGGCAACGGUGAAACUCAAAGGAAUU